rnacentral:rRNA from 1 species
UCCUACGGGACGCAGCAGUGAGGAAUAUUGGUCAAUGGGCGGAAGCCUGAACCAGCCAAGUCGCGUGAGGGAAUAAGGCCCUACGGGUCGUAAACCUCUUUUGCCGGGGAGCAAGGGCGGGGACGUGUCCCGGCCCGGAGAGUACCCGGAGAAAAAGCAUCGGCUAACUCCGUGCCAGCAGCCGCGGUAAUACGGAGGAUGCGAGCGUUAUCCGGAUUUAUUGGGUUUAAAGGGUGCGCAGGCGGUCAGUUAAGUCAGCGGUCAAAGCCCGGGGCUCAACCCCGGCCCGCCGUUGAAACUGGCAG